rnacentral:rRNA from 1 species
AUUGAACGCUGGCGGCAGGCCUAACACAUGCAAGUCGAGCGAGCGGCGGACGGGUGAGGAAUAUGUGGGGAUCUGCCCGAUGGAGGGGGAGAACGACUGGGAACGGUAGCUAAUCACGCGUACAGACGGAUGAAGCCAGAUGGGAUUAGCUAGUGGGGUAGGUAAUGGCUCACGUAGGCGACGAUCCCUAGCUGGUCUGAGAGGAUGAUCAGUCACACUGGAACUGAGACACGGUCCAGACUCCUACGGGAGGCAGCAGUGGGGAAUAUUGCACAAUGGGCGCAAGCCUGAUGCAGCCAUGCCGCGUGUGUGAAGAAGGUCUUAGGGUUGUAAAGCACUUUCAGUUGGGAGGCGUUACCGACAGAAGAAGCACCGGCUAACUCCGUGCCAGCCGCCGCGGUAAUAC